CUACGGGCGGCUGCAGUCGAGAAUCCUCCGCAAUGGACGAAAGUCUGACGGAGCGACGCCGCGUGCGGGAUGAAGGCCUUCGGGUUGUAAACCGCUGUCAGUGGGGAGGAAAUGCAUCAGGGUUCUCCCUGGUGUUUGACCGAUCCGCAGAGGAAGCGCAGGCUAAGUUCGUGCCAGCAGCCGCGGUAACACGAACUGCGCGAACGUUAUUCGGAAUCACUGGGCUUAAAGAGUUCGUAGGCGGCCUUUCAAGUCGGGUGUGAAAUCCCUCGGCUCAACCGAGGAAUUGCGCCUGAUCUGUUGGGCUUGAGGGGGAUAGGGGUGAGCGGAACUGAUGGUGGAGCGGUGAAAUGCGUUGAUAUCAUCAGGAACACCGGUGGCGAAGGCGGCUCACUGAAUCUCUUCUGACGCUGAGGAACGAAAGCUAGGGGAGCGAACGGGAUUAGAUACCCCAGUAGUC
rnacentral:rRNA from 1 species